GCCGAGCGGUGGUGCUCGGUGCUCGACGCUUGGUGGUGCUCGCAUCGGUGGUGCUCGGUGCUCGCCAUGAAUAGGAAGAAACGUCUAAGAAAGACAAGCACUACUGAUUAGGUGGAGAUGCCUCACUUACCACACAUACUUCAGCAUCAUUGUCAGCUCCACCACAGCCCCCAACAUCCUCCUCAACCUCUAUUAUCUGCGCAUGCUCCAUCACAACCUCCAGCAUCUAGCGAAACUCCAUCAAGAUCAUCCACUCCAGAUCUACCAUAACAUUUGUCAUCGACACGCUCCUCUACAUCACGCCAUUACUAGAUAGUUAAUGUGAUAGGAAUAUCUCAAGACCAAUGGGCAAGUUUUAUUGACUAUCGCGCGCGAGAUAAAACUAAGGCAUCAUAUACGCAUAAUGGACAAGCGUUACCAGCGACAAAGCCCUCUUCUAUAACUAGUCAUGACAUUCGCGAGACACAACAACCCCCACACCAACAAAGUUGAUGUAUUGUUCAAAUAUUUGAACUAGAAUAUUAAACUUUUUAAAUUUUACUUCAAUAUUUAAGUCCAUUUUGAUUGGACUUUAAUAUGUUACAUAUUUGGAUAUUUAAGUUGGAUUGGAUAUUUAUGGUUUAUUGAUUAAAUAGAUUGAGAUAUUGUAUUUGUGAAUUUGGUAUAUAGGUUACAGAUUUUAAGUUAUUUGUGAGUUGGAUAUUUA